ACACAUGCAGUCGAGGGGUAACAGAUCUUCGGAUGCUGACGACCGGCGAACGGGUGAGUAACACGUAUGCAACUUACCCAUAACUCGGGAAUAGCCCAAAGAAAUUUGGAUUAAUACCCAAUAAUACAGGCGUACCGCAUGGUAUUCUUCGUUAAAGAAUAAUCGGUUAUGGAUAGGCAUGCGUUCUAUUAGGUAGUUGGUGAGGUAACGGCUCACCAAGCCGACGAUGGAUAGGGGAACUGAGAGGUUGUCCCCCCACACUGGUACUGAGACACGGACCAGACUCCUACGGGAGGCAGCAGUGAGGAAUAUUGGUCAAUGGACGAAAGUCUGAACCAGCCAAAUCGCGUGAAGGAAGAAGGUAUUAUGUAUCGUAAACUUCUUUUGUAAGAGAGUAAAGUGCACUACGUGUAGUGUAUUGCAAGUACCUUACGAAUAAGCAUCGGCUAAUUCCGUGCCAGCAGCCGCGGUAAUACGGAAGAUGCAAGUGUUAUCCGGAUUUAUUGGGUUUAAAGGGUGCGUAGGUGGUCUAAUAAGUCAGUGGUGAAAUCUCUUUGCUUAACAAGGAAAUUGCCAUUGAAACUGUUAGACUUGAGAAUGGACGAGGUAGGCGGAAUUCGUAGUGUAGCGGUGAAAUGCAUAGAUAUUACGAAGAACUCCAAUAGUGUAGACUGCUUACCAGACCAUAUCUGACACUAAGGCACGAAAGUGUGGGUAUCAAACAGGAUUAGAUACCCUGGUAGUCCACACAGUAAACGAUGAAUACUAACUGUUUGCGAUAUACAGCAAGUGGUCGAGCGAAAGCGUUAAGUAUUCCACCUGGGAAGUAUGCCGGCACGGUGAAACUCAAAGGAAUUGACGGGGGCCCGCACAAGCGGAGGACAUGUGGUUUAAUUCGAUAAUACGCGAGGAACCUUACCCGGGCUCGAACGAUAUUUGAUACAUCCG
rnacentral:rRNA from 1 species